rnacentral:rRNA from 1 species
AAGUCGGCUAAAUAGAUCCGUAACUUUGGGAAAAGGAUUGGCUCUUAAGGGUUUUUUUGUUUUCCUCUUUUAUACAAUCCUGUUGUUUGCAAAAAUGAUAGGAAUGAUAUGAAAAGGAAAAUGAAUUUUAUUUUAUUUUUUUAAAAGUAAAAUAAAUAUAAAACCAACUUAGAACUGUUACGGACAAGGGGAAUCCGACUGUUUAAUUAAAACAAAGCAUUGUGAUGGUUGGAAAACGAUGAUGACACAAUGUGAUUUCUGCCCAGUGCUCUGAAUGUCAAAGUGAAGAAAUUCAACAAAGCGCGGGUAAACGGCGGGGGUAACUAUGACCCUCUUAAGGUAGCCAAAUGCCUCGUCAUCUAAUUAGUGACGUGCAUGAAUGGAUUAACGAGAUUCCCACUGUCCCUAUC